rnacentral:rRNA from 1 species
GACGAACGCUGGCGGCGUGCUUAACACAUGCAAGUCGAACGGAAAGGCCCUGCUUUUGUGGGGUGCUCGAGUGGCGAACGGGUGAGUAACACGUGAGUAACCUGCCCUUGACUUUGGGAUAACUUCAGGAAACUGGGGCUAAUACCGGAUAGGAGCUCCUGCUGCAUGGUGGGGGUUGGAAAGUUUCGGCGGUUGGGGAUGGACUCGCGGCUUAUCAGCUUGUUGGUGGGGUAGUGGCUUACCAAGGCUUGGACGGGUAGCCGGCCUGAGAGGGUGACCGGCCACAUGGGGACGGAGAUACGGCCCAGACUCCUACGGGAGGCAGCAGUGGGGAAUAUUGCACAAUGGGCGGAAGCCUGAUGCAGCAACGCCGCGUGCGGGAUGACGGCCUUCGGGUUGUAAACCGCUUUCGCCUGUGACGAAGCGUGAGUGACGGUAAUGGGUAAAGAAGCACCGGCUAACUACGG